UUGCCGCAGUAUUUUGACUGUGCAAAGGUAGCAUAAUAAUUAGUUUCUUGAUUAGGAACUGGAAUGAAUGAUUGGACAAGAAAAUUACUGUCUCUUUCCAAAAAUUUUUAAAUUUUAUUUUUAAGUGAAAAAGCUUAGAUUUGUAUAAAAGACGAGAAGACCCUAUAGAGUUUAAUAUUCAGGGUUAAUUUAAAUUUAGUAAGUUAAUUAGCUUGGUCUAUUUGGUUGGGGUGACUUGAAGAUUUACAUAAUUCUUUAAAAAUUUAAUUGAUGAUGAUUAAUUUUAAAUCUUUAACUAAUAAAUAUAAAAUAAAUUACCUUAGGGAUAACAGCGUAAUUUUACUUUAAAGUUCACAUUGAAAGUAAAGUUUGCGACCUCGAUGUUGGAUUAAAAUUAAUUUUUGGUGCAAUAACUUAAAAAUUAGGUCUGUUCGACCUUUAAAAUUUUACAUGAUCUGAGUUUAAACCGGUGUAAACCAGGUUGGAUUCUAUCUUUAGAAAAAUAAUAUAUUUUAGUACGAAAGGACCAAAUAUAUGUUAAAUUA
rnacentral:rRNA from 1 species